rnacentral:rRNA from 1 species
ACGGGUGAGUAAUGCCUAGGAAAUUGCCCUGAUGUGGGGGAUAACCAUUGGAAACGAUGGCUAAUACCGCAUGAUGCCUACGGGCCAAAGAGGGGGACCUUCGGGCCUCUCGCGUCAGGAUAUGCCUAGGUGGGAUUAGCUAGUUGGUGAGGUAAUGGCUCACCAAGGCGACGAUCCCUAGCUGGUCUGAGAGGAUGAUCAGCCACACUGGAACUGAGACACGGUCCAGACUCCUACGGGAGGCAGCAGUGGGGAAUAUUGCACAAUGGGCGCAAGCCUGAUGCAGCCAUGCCGCGUGUGUGAAGAAGGCCUUCGGGUUGUAAAGCACUUUCAGUCGUGAGGAAGGUGGUGUAGUUAAUAGCUGCAUUAUUUGACGUUAGCGACAGAAGAAGCACCGGCUAACUCCGUGCCAGCAGCCGCGGUAAUACGGAGGGUGCGAGCGUUAAUCGGAAUUACUGGGCGUAAAGCGCAUGCAGGUGGUUUGUUAAGUCAGAUGUGAAAGCCCGGGGCUCAACCUCGGAAUAGCAUUUGAAACUGGCAGACUAGAGUACUGUAGAGGGGGGUAGAAUUUCAGGUGUAGCGGUGAAAUGCGUAGAGAUCUGAAGGAAUACCGGUGGCGAAGGCGGCCCCCUGGACAGAUACUGACACUCAGAUGCGAAAGCGUGGGGAGCAAACAGGAUUAGAUACCCUGGUAGUCCACGCCGUAAACGAUGUCUACUUGGAGGUUGUGGCCUUGAGCCGUGGCUUUCGGAGCUAACGCGUUAAGUAGACCGCCUGGGGAGUACGGUCGCAAGAUUAAAACUCAAAUGAAUUGACGGGGGCCCGCACAAGCGGUGGAGCAUGUGGUUUAAUUCGAUGCAACGCGAAGAACCUUACCUACUCUUGACAUCCAGAGAACUUUUCAGAGAUGAAUUGGUGCCUUCGGGAACUCUGAGACAGGUGCUGCAUGGCUGUCGUCAGCUC